rnacentral:rRNA from 1 species
GACGAACGCUGGCGGCGUGCUUAACACAUGCAAGUCGAACGGAAAGGCCCUGCUUUUGUGGGGUGCUCGAGUGGCGAACGGGUGAGUAACACGUGAGUAACCUGCCCUUGACUUUGGGAUAACUUCAGGAAACUGGGGCUAAUACCGGAUAGGAGCUCCUGCUGCAUGGUGGGGGUUGGAAAGUUUCGGCGGUUGGGGAUGGACUCGCGGCUUAUCAGCUUGUUGGUGGGGUAGUGGCUUACCAAGGCUUUGACGGGUAGCCGGCCUGAGAGGGUGACCGGCCACCAUGGUCCUGCGGUACGGCGCAGUCUCCAACGGGAGGCAGCAGUGGGGAAUAUUACACAGUGGGCGGACGCCUGAUGCGGAGACGCCGCGUGCGUGAUGACGGCCUUCGGGUUGUAAACCGCUUUCGCCUGUGACGAGGCGUGAUUGACGGUAAUGGGUAAAGAAGCACCGGCUAACUACGUG